rnacentral:lncRNA from 1 species
GCUUGUCUCCAGCCUGAAGGCUCCCUGGCCCUGGGCUCAGGCAGAAAUGGCUCCUCCUCCCCUCCUGGCUGCUGUCUGUCUUCAGUUCAGCCUGCCUCUCCCUCCUGAUUGCUCUGGCUGAAGCAAGAAGCCAUGAAGAUGGCUCUGUAGCUGCAAGUUGCAUCAGGUUGCCUCUGGGAGAAAGAGAGAAAGCAGACCCGGCUUAUGCAACUCUCUCUCCCCAUACACUGAAUCUCUGAAGUUCCUGGCCAACCCCCUCAGCUUCCCACCAGAGUUUGCCAAGGCUUGGCUUGGCAGGAACAAGGCCCAAAGAGCUACACAGAGCAUCUCCCAGACAGUGGCCACUGAGAACCAUCUCCUGUCAAGGUGGGUAACAGAGAAAUUUCUGGGGUAGGGAGUAAGGCAGGGGAAUGUAGGAGAAAAAGCCUCCAGGCCUGACUGACUUGCCAUGGGACCAUGGAUCAACCAUUUAACCUCUUUCAGCUAAAUACCUCAUAGAGGUGUUGUGUAGACAAAAGGAAACAAUGGAUGUGCAUGUGUAGCUUGGAAAUACAAAGCCUAUUCAUACUGGGAAUAUUAAUAUCAUAGGCUAGUGCAGAGGACUAGCAGUUAAUCCGUUGGAUUUUCCUACUUAGAUCCCAUUGGCUUGAUGAGCUGUCUGGGCACCCUCACAGAAAACCUCACAAGGAAAACAAGGUCCCAGAUUUGGUCACCAGAAGAACAAGGUUGAGACUGACUCAGUGAAUGCCUUUCUUUGACUGCAAAACAGGACUGUAAUGCAGCUGGCUCUCCUGAAAUGUUGGCUUCUAGUUCCGAGGGUAUAGGAGGCCUAGGCAGCUGUACACUUGUGUCAUCCUGAUCAUCAUGAAGUCUGGUGGAAUUUAUAUGGACAGGACAGUAUGCAUUCCUUCAACCAAUACUUACUGAGCACCUAUUAUGUGCCAGGCACUGUGCUGGGCACUGGGAAUGAAAAAAUGAGUAGGGCAUGGUCCUUGCCUUCAAGGAGCUUAGAGUCUAAUGAGAGAAGCUAGCAGCAAACCAUCACUGCAAUCCAGUGGGACAAAGCCAUGAUAGUCACAUGUACAGAAUGCCAUGGCAGCAAAAAGGAAGAGUACUGAGGUGAUUUGCUCUGGAAGAGGCAGAGCCAGGUCAGGCCUCUGCUUAGAAAGUGGCUGGAAAUGGAGACACUUAAUCAUGUACUAGGUCUUUAUUUAUCCAUCAUUCAUUCAGCCAACAUAUCUUCUGAGAUUUUUUGGAGUAUUUAUAUAUUUAUUUAUUUAUUUUUGAGAUGGAGUCUCACUCUGUCGCCCAGGCUAGAGUGCAGUGGCAUGAUCUCAUCUCACUGCAACCUCCGCCUUCCGAGUUCAAGUGAUUCUCCUGCCUCAGCCUCGUGAGUAGCUAGGAUUACAGGCGCCUGCCACCACACCCUGCUAAUUUUUGCCUUUCAGUAGAGACGGGGUAUCACUAUAUUGGCCAGGCUAGUCUUAAACUCCUGACAUCAAGUGAUCCAUCCACCCGCCUCGGGCUCCCAAAGUGCUGAGAUUACAAGCAUGAGCCACCGCGCCCAGCCUGGAGUAUUUCUUACGGUGAAUUUACCUCCUCCUGCAUUACUGGUCUUGGUUAAUUUGGUUUUAUUUAAAGUUCCUCCUACUUAAUUUACUCUGGACCUGAGUAAGCAUACUUGGUGAUGUCCCGACCCUAGUGUAUACCCAGCUGUCAUGAUCUAUUUGGAUUUUAGAAUUCCGCCCCCCUCCUCUGACUCUCCAGCCCACAUUACACCACUUCUUUCUCUGUCUUUGCUCUAGCCACAUCAGUCUCCUUUCAAUUCCUCAAAUUGGCUGUACUUCCUUCCUCCAGCCACAGGACUCUUACACAUGCUGCUCUGCUGCCUGAAAUGCUGCCCCACAACCCCUUUUCAUUUAGUUAACUCCUACUCAUCCUCAUUUCUCCUGCAAUGUCCCUUCCUCCAGGAAGCCCUCCCUGACCACCUCCCCCAGAUCAGAUCAAACACCUUGCUAUACAUUUUCAUAGCACUCUGCUCUCUCCCUUCAUGACACAAUUCAACACUAUAUACUGGUAUAAUUAUUUGAUCAAUGUCUGGCUUUCCCAGUCCCUUGAAGGCAUCUUUGGGAGAGACAACAUUUCCAUUUUGCUCAUCACUGUAUUCCCACUGUCCAGCACAGCUAUUAGUCCAAGGAGCAGAUCUAUAUGUGGUUUUUGAGAUAAUUAAUUAAUGGAAUGAUUAACUAUCUUUUUUGGGCCACCAUUUGCCUUGGGCCUAAAUGGUUCUGUGUUCAAAACUAAAACAAUGCCAAAUGCAAAAAUAAGGACCAGAACCAAACAGGGAGCCCCUGUAAGAAAUGUGCAGAAAGAAGGUAAAAGCCAGGGGAGGGGUGUCCCAGACCAGAAGGCAUGAAGGACUAGAGGGUGAAGAAAGGAAAAAUGUAGAGGGAGAGAGGGAGAAUUCCAAGGCCCUGGUGUCUUACACCUCUCUGGGUUUUGAAAUCAAUAAAUAGGUAUUGAGUAUCUAUAACUCUGAUUCUCAGGGGUACUUGUGUUCCUUGGGUGUAAGAUAGUAUGCCAGGGAUACAAAAGAUGGGAUACAAUUAGUCCGUUUUCCUGCUGCUCCAGUGUUAUAAGUAGAACUUGAGGAGUAUGAGGUUGGGGAAGAAGAGGAUCAUUUUAUAUCGAAACCAAUACCAAUAUAGAGUCGAUAAUAAAUUUCGUAUGAUUACAAAAAUUCAUCUGAGAUUUUAAAUAUGUUAACGCUAUGACUUCAGUGGUAGUUCAGGAAGAGAGUCAGAGAACCAUGGGUACCUCCAAAGGAUCCUGUAUGAAUUGAAGUUUUGAAAAUCAAAUAAUAUUAGAAACACAUGGAGGACACACUCUUUAGAGACAGAACUCUUGCUCAUUUUUGUACCACCCACCAUUCCUAUAGUGCACAAUGCCCUGGGUGCACUAUAGUUGCACAUUAAAUGUUGAAUUGAAUCCAUAGCAAACAACUCACUCUUAGUUCGGUCUGUAAAUUGUGAGGAUUUGUGUGUGUGUGUGUAUGUGUGUGUGUGUGUGUGUGAGAUAGGGUCUCACGUUGUCACCCAGGCUGCAGUGCAGUGGUGUGAACACAGCUCACUGCAGCCUCAACCUCCCAAGCUCAAGCAAUCCUCCAGCCUCAGUCCCCCAAGUAGCUGAGAUUUCAGGUGUGUGCCACCACACCUGGCUAAUUUUUGUAUUUUUUUGUAGAGACGGAGUUUUGCCAUGUUGCUCAGGCUGGUCUCGAACUCCUGGGCUCAAGUGAUCCACCCGCUUCAGCCUCACAAAGUGUUGUAUUACAGGGAAGGUAGAAGGCCAAGGGCACAGAGACUUGUUGCCAGAGAAAUUAGAGGUUAUUAAGAAGAUGAAUUACACUGAUUGAAUUUUAAAGUUAAACCACCUUUGCAUCCCUGGAAUAAACUCUACUUAGUCAUGAUGUAUUAUCCUGUUUAUAUCUUGUUGAAUUCAACUUGCUAAAACUUUAUUUAGAAUUUUUUAUGCAUAUUCAUGCAGGAUAUUGUUCUGUACUUUUCUUAUAAUGUCUAUGUUUGAUUUUGGUAUUAUGGUAAUACUGGCCUCCUCUUCCAUUUUCUGGAAGGGUUUAGGUAGAAUUGGUAUUGCUUCAUCAUUAAAUAUUUGAUAAAGUUCACCAGAGAAGCCAUCUGGGCCUGGAGUCUUCUUUGUGGGAAGAUUUUUAACUGCAAAUUCAAUUUCUCUAAUAGAUAUAGGAAUAUUCAUGUUAUCUAUUACUUUUCAUGUGAGCUUUGGUACUUGUGUCUUUUAAGGAAAUUAUCCAUUUCACCUAAGUUAUUAAAUUUAUUGGUAUAACAUUA